GACGAACGCUGGCGGCGUGCCUAACACAUGCAAGUCGAACGAGGUCCAUCCAGUGGCAACACCGGUGAAGACCUAGUGGCGAACGGGUGAGUAACACGUGAGGAACCUGCCCCGAAGACCGGGAUAACUCUCCGAAAGGAGAGCUAAUACCGGAUGCCCCCGCCGGACCGCAUGGUCUGGUGAGGAAAUGGAUUCCGCUUCGGGAGGGCCUCGCGGCCUAUCAGCUAGUUGGUGGGGUAACGGCCCACCAAGGCAUCGACGGGUAGCUGGUCUGAGAGGACGAUCAGCCACACUGGGACUGAGACACGGCCCAGACUCCUACGGGAGGCAGCAGUGGGGAAUCUUGCGCAAUGGGCGAAAGCCUGACGCAGCAACGCCGCGUGGGGGAUGAAGGCUCUCGGGUUGUAAACCCCUUUCAGCAGGGACGAAUCAAGACGGUACCUGCAGAAGAAGCCCCGGCUAACUACGUGCCAGCAGCCGCCGCAGUAA
rnacentral:rRNA from 1 species